UAUGCAUGGUGCAGAUGGUAGUAUUGUUCUCUAAUCAUAAGAGAAACACUAUAGAAGAAGGAAGAGAAAAGAGAAUACUUUACUACGACAAUUCUACGCCGGUGAUUUCCAGAUUCCACAUGGAUAAUAGAGGCACCAAGGCGGGUGCACCAAGAUCGGAUACACCAGGCACGCCACAAGUGCUCGUGCAUUGGAGAAACCUUCCCAUGUGCGGUGUGGGGGAGGCAAACAGAGGCGACUAAUGUGAGAUAGAGGAGAAAGAUACAAUGUACAGGUUGUAAAAGUAAAACUGAAGCUAGCACGAAUCUCCAGGCCAACGAUCCAGAUAAGCCCGUGAAGUCCAUGUGCUUUGGGUCAAAAUGUCAUUGGUGCCAUGUAUAACUAGUUGGAUGAAGGGUUGCUCUCCAGCGGCCGACGAGGAGAGGGCAGCGAUGGUGCCGCUGCCUCCUCCAGCUAGGGACGAGAUCGUCGACGAGGAUCUGGCGGCGGAGCACACCAAGCCGUGCUGGACGACGACGGCGAAGGGCGGCGUUGGAGUGGUCAUGUCCAUCUUUGUGCUUCUUGCUUUGCUAGUCGGCAUCAAAUGGAUCCACCUCGACGCAGCUGUAAGUAUACCUACGCCUAUCCAAGAAGUUCAGUUAGUUCACGUUUCCCCUAAAAACUAAAAUUUGGAAGUCAAUUCGUGUUGUUUCCUGCUUGCGAAUGCAUGCACAAG